UACGGAGGGGGCUAGCGUUGUUCGGAAUUACUGGGCGUAAAGCGCACGUAGGCGGAUCGAUCAGUCAGGGGUGAAAUCCCAGAGCUCAACUCUGGAACUGCCUUUGAUACUGUCGAUCUGGAGUAUGGAAGAGGUGAGUGGAAUUCCGAGUGUAGAGGUGAAAUUCGUAGAUAUUCGCAAGAACACCAGUGGCGAAGGCGGCUCACUGGCCCGGUACUGACGCUGAGGAGCGAAAGCGUGGGGAGCGAACAGG
rnacentral:rRNA from 1 species